rnacentral:rRNA from 1 species
CCUACGGGAGGCAGCAGUGAGGAAUAUUGGACAAUGGGCGCAAGCCUGAUCCAGCCAUGCCGCGUGCAGGAAGAAGCAUCUAUGGUGUGUAAACUGCUUUUGCACAGGAAGAAACACUCCCUCGUGAGGGAGCUUGACGGUACUGUAAGAAUAAGGACCGGCUAACUCCGUGCCAGCAGCCGCGGUAAAUACGGAGGGUCCGAGCGUUAUCCGGAAUCAUUGGGUUUAAAAGGGUCCGUAGGCGGUUUAAUAAGUCAGUGGUGAAAUCUGGUCGCUCAACGAUCAAACGGCCAUUGAUACUGUUAGACUUGAAUUAUAAGGAAGUAACUAGAAUAUGUAGUGUAGCGGUGAAAUGCUUAGAUAUUACAUGGAAUACCAAUUGCGAAGGCAGGUUACUACUUAUGGAUUGACGCUGAUGGACGAAAGCGUGGGGAGCGAACAGGAUUAGAUACCCUGGUAGUCCACGCCGUAAACGAUGGAUACUAGNUGUGUAGNAUACUGAGUGGNGUAGAGAAGUAGAGUAAGUAAGUACCACCGUACGGGAGGUAACGGUUACGUCGAAGAAGUAAGUUAAAGUUAAAAGGUAAAAGUUAAGUUAGGCGUGAGAGAGCGACGGACGACGACGAGGGAGGAGGAG